rnacentral:rRNA from 1 species
CAGCCGCCGCGGGAAUACGUAGGGUGCAAGCGUUAAUCGGAAUUACUGGGCGUAAAGCGUGCGCAGGCGGUUUGUUAAGACAGAUGUGAAAUCCCCGGGCUCAACCUGGGAACUGCAUUUGUGACUGUAUAGCUAGAGUACGGUAGAGGGGGAUGGAAUUCCGCGUGUAGCAGUGAAAUGCGUAGAUAUGCGGAGGAACACCGAUGGCGAAGGCAAUCCCCUGGACCUGUACUGACGCUCAUGCACGAAAGCGUGGGGAGCAAAUAGGAUUAGAUACCCCAGUAGUCCCUGUCUCUUAUAC